GUGGGGAAUCUUAGACAAUGGGGGAAACCCUGAUCUAGCCAUGCCGCGUGAUCGAUGAAGGCCUUAGGGUUGUAAAGAUCUUUCAGGUGGGAAGAUAAUGACUGUACCACCAGAAGAAGCCCCGGCUAACUCCGUGCCAGCAGCCACGGUAAUACGGAGGGGGCUAGCGUUGUUCGGAAUUACUGGGCGUAAAGCGCACGUAGGCGGAUUGGAAAGUUGGGGGUGAAAUCCCGGGGCUCAACCCCGGAACUGCCUUCAAAACUCCCAGUCUUGAGUUCGAGAGAGGUGAGUGGAAUUCCGAGUGUAGAGGUGAAAUUCGUAGAUAUUCGGAGGAACACCAGUGGCGAAGGCGGCUCACUGGCUCGAUACUGACGCUGAGGUGCGAAAGCGUGGGGAGCAAACAGGAUUAGAUACCCUUGUAGUCC
rnacentral:rRNA from 1 species